CGCCUAUAGCCUUACUUUUUUGCUGUUUUUUGGCCAUUUAUGGAAAAUGGAAAAAGUCGCUAAAAAUGGAAGAAAAGUAAAGGCUAUAGGCUUACUUUUUUGCUGUUUUUUGGCCAUUUAUGAAAAAUGAAAAAAGUCGCAAAAAAUGGACGAAAAGUUAAGCCUAUAGCCUUACUUUUUUGCUGUUUUUUUGCCAUUUAUUAAAAAUGAAAAAGUCGCAAAAAAUGGACGAAAAGUUAAGGCUAUAGCCUUACUUUUUUGCUGUUUUUUUGCCAUUUAUGAAAAAUGAAAAAAGUCGCUAAAAAUGGACGAAAAGUUAAGGCUAUAGCCUUACUUUUUUGCUGUUUUUUAGCCAUUUAUGAAAAAUGAAAAAAGUCACUGAAAAUGGACGAAAAGUUAAGGGUAUAGCCUUACUUUUUUGCUGUUUUUUUGCCAUUUAUGAAAAAUGAAAAAAGUCACUGAAAAUGGACGAAAAGUUAAGGUAUAGGCUUACUUUUUGCUGGGUUUUUUUGCCAUUUAUGAAAAAUGAAAAAAGUCGCAAAAAAUGGACGAAAAGUUAAGCCUAUAGCCUUACUUUUUUGCUGUUUUUUUGCCAUUUAUUAAAAAUGAAAAAGUCGCAAAAAAUGGACGAAAAGUUAAGCCUAUAGCCUUACUUUUUUGCUGUUUUUUUGCCAUUUAUGAAAAAUGAAAAAGUCGCAAAAAAUGGACGAGGCUAUAGCUAUCGCCUUACUUUUUUGCUGUUUUUUUGCCAUUUAUGAAAAAUGAAAAAAGUCAAAAUGGACGAAAAGUUAAGGGUAUAGGCUUACUUUUUUGUUUUUUGGCUAUUUAUGAAAAAUGAAAAAGUCGCAAAAAAUGGACGAAAGUCAAGUAUAGCCUUACUUUUUUUCUGUUUUUUGGCCAUUUAUGAAAAAUGAAAAAAGUCGCAAAAAAGGACGACUAUAGCCUUACUUUUUUGCUGUUUUUUUGCCAUUUAUGAAAAAUGAAAAAAGUCGCAAAAAAUGGAGACGAGGCUAUAGCCUUACUUUUUUGCUGUUUUUUUGCCAUUUAUGGAAAAUGAAAAAAGUCGCUAAAAAUGGAAGAAAAGUUAAGGCUAUAGCCUUACUUUUUUGCUGUUUUUUUUGCCAUUUAUGGAAAACGAAAAAAGUCGCUAAAAUUCGACGAAAAGUUAAGGCUAUAGGCUUACUUUUUUGCUGUUUUUUAGCCAUUUAUGAAAAAUGAAAAAAGUCACUGAAAAUGGACGAAAAGUUAAGGGUAUAGGCUUACUUUUUGCUGUUUUUUUUGCCAUUUAUGAAAAAUGAAAAAAGUCGCAAAAAAUGGACGAAAAGUUAAGCCUAUAGCCUUACUUUUUUGCUGUUUUUUUUUGCCAUUUAUGAAAAAUGAAAAAAGUCGCAAAAAAUGGACGAAAAGUUAAGGUUAUAGCCUUACUUUUUUUCUGUUUUUUGGCCAUUUAUGACAAAUGAAAAAAGUCGCUAAAAUGACGAAAAGUUAAGGCUAUAGCCUUACUUUUUUGCUGUUUUUUAGCCAUUUAUGAAAAAUGAAAAAAGUCAAAUGGACGAAAAGUUAAGGGGUAUAGGCUUACUUUUUGCUGGGUUUUUUUGCCAUUUAUGAAAAAUGAAAAAAGUCGCAAAAAAUGGACGAAAAGUUAAG